ensembl:ncRNA lncRNA:CR45758 long non-coding RNA:CR45758
AGUUGCAAACGGACCUUUCAGACGCUGAGUUCGCUCGUGGUAAAAGCGGAAACUGCAGUCCAGAAAUAGUGGAAAACGUAAAUAUACGGACCAGAGUCCUUCGCACGCGCUAAAACCCGGCUCGGAGUGCGGACCGACCAUGUAGCCGAAUCUGUACGCGUGCCCGCAUCCGGUUUUCGUUUCGGUUUCGCUCGGUGCUUGCCAAUUGCCAUUUGUGCAGCGUGUUUCGCGUCCACUUCCUAAAUAAAUGCAAAUGUACCCAACAAGACAGAAAGUUAAAAUUUUUAGGAAAUGUAUUAGGGCUUGAUGGCCGUAGGGAGGCUGUAGAGCUUUGCAAGCUUCGCAUCGGGAGGAUUACUCGGAAUCUUUAAGGGAUAGGAAAAGAAAAUGUUUUCCAAAUUUUUUUGUAAACCAGAGUAAAAACAUUACUUGGGCAAGUAAGACUCGCAGUAAGAUUUCUUUUUAAGUUGAAAAGUUGUGCACGUGCCUGAACUUUGGGCGGAAGCCCAUCAGAUUCUGUUGGAUAAUAAUAGUUCUGAGUGAUGGUAAUGGGUUUAUAAUCGUAGGAAGGGUGUGAAUUAUUAAGCCUUGAUAUUUCUCGAAGUGAAUUCUAGUAAAAUCCACUCUGGAAAUUAUUAUUGUAAACACCGAUAUGGGUCUCAGUAUUAAAACAUUAAACAGAAGCUGAUGGCCUCAGAGCAGCUGCAAACUUGAGAAACCAGAAAAAGACGAUUAAUUC